GCGGGCGCCGGGGGGCUGCGCGGCCGCGCCGCAGAAGGUGAAGGAACAGCGCGAGGCACGCAGCCGCCGCACCGUGGCGCGCACGAGCUCAGCCGGCCGGCGACCCCAGCGCGCCCACAGGACAGUGGCAGCCGGAAAGUGGGUUCCUGCAUGGUAACAAGACCUUAAAAUUGUGUCACUGGAGAAGGACGUGCAGUUCCCGCUGAGGAGAGACUUGGCCACUCCAGGACAACACAGGACUACAAGUCAGGAAUUUGAAGAUGAAAAGUGCUCAACAGUGAUAAAUCCUAAAUGUUUCACUGAACAACCUUUCAGAUAGCCUUCUUGAAGUUUGCUGAAUUAUGGCUAUAAGGACCACUCCCCACCCCUGCUAGAAGGUUGUUUGUGACCCAAGAGGGCAUCAAUACAAAGACCCUAAAGCUGGGAUUCCGAAGCACAGAGUCGCGGGAGAGAACCAAAGCUCAUCGCAUCUGGUUUAAGACUCCUUCAGAGUUGGAUCAGCCUAAAAACAGGACAUGGUACAAGAUUUUAUUCAUUCCAAAGAUUGUAAAAAUUAAAUUCAUCCUGAGAAUUUAUCAGUCUAUGUGGGAGCUACAGACUUCUAUGAGCAAGCAGAGUACCUGGCAUUCCUGACCAUGCUAUUUCUACCAAUCAACAAAAACUACUAGAUACUCAGAGGGGAUUUAAUACAGAGAGUUGGCUACAACAUGACAAAACACCAGACAAGGGAGGGCACUGUGGCUCAUGCCUGUAAUCCCGGCACUUCGGGAGGCCAAGGCGGGUGGAUCACCUGAGGUCAGGAGUUUGAGAUCAGCUGGCCAACAUGGUGAAACCCCGUCUCUACUAAAAAUACAAAAAAUUAGCCGGGCAUGGUGGCAGGCACCUGUAAUCCCAGCUACUUGGGAGGCUGAGGCAGGAGAAUCGCUUGAACCUGGGAGGCGGAGGUUGCAGUGAGCCAAGAUCAUGCCCUUGCACUCCAGCCUGGGCAACAAGAGUGAAACUCCGUCUGAAAUAAAUAAAUAAAUAAAUAAAUAAACAAACGGACACACACCACAGAAGGGACAGUGAGGCAACCCAGGGAAUAGAAACAGCAGAAGCCACGACCCUCUGUAGGGCUGAGGGCACACAGCACAGGUCAAGUUACCGUCGCCCGGGAUCCAGGGUCCCCUGGUGGAAGCUGGAACCCACAGAUCAGUGCUGUGGGAGAUGGAGCCACAGAGAAACAACUGCUGCUGGAGACAUCAGAAGGGGAAGAAGGUGGAAAAAUACUGUAGCCGCUCCACACCUCCAGCCCAACGCCCCAUGGCGGAACUUCACUAGAGGCCCCACGGCAGAAGAGCCUCCAGGAACCUCCUUGUGGACCAGAGGAGAGAGAUAGAGAGGCGGCAGGAGGCAAGGGUGUGUCUAAGAACAAACAGGCCACGGCCAGCCCCUGGCCUUCCUGAAACUCCUCCCUUGGGUUCUUUUAAAAUUCAAUAUUCUGCUUCUGUUCCAGGGUUAAUGGGCUGAACUGUGUCCCCCCAAAUUCUAAUGUUGAAGUUCUAACCCCCAGUACCUCAGAAUGGGACUGCAUCAGGAGACAGGUACUUUAAAAUAGUCAUUAAGGUAAAAUGAGGUCACCACCUAAUCUGUUAUGACUGGUAUCCUUAUAAGGAGAGGAGACUAGACACAGACAUGCACAGGGGGACAAUCCUGUAAGGACAAAGGGAGAAGACAGCCAUCUCCAAGCUAAGGAGAGAGGCCUCAGGAGAAACCAACCCUGCCCACACCUUCAUCUUGGACUUCUAGCUUCCAGAACUGGGGAAAUGAAUUUCUGUUGUUGAAGCCCCAGUCUGCAAUACUUAGUUAUAGCAGCCCUUGCGAACCAGCACAUGCAAGUUCUCCGUCUCUGUCUCUAACCCCUCUCUCAACUGUCGGCCAUAAGUGAGCCUCUGCCCCCAACUUCUGGCCUCCUCUAUGUUCUCUUCCUUGGCAACCUCUGGCAGUGACGCUCAGUCCUCAUGGCCAGCUCUGGCCUCUCCCAGGCUCUGGCGCCGCAAUCAUCUCUUCCACUUGUCUCUGCUUGGAUAGUCUGUCAGCAUCUCAAAGGCAACAUGAAUAAAACCAAAUGCAUUUUUUCCUCCCA
rnacentral:lncRNA from 1 species